GACGAACGCUGGCGGCGUGCUUAACACAUGCAAGUCGAACGGAAAGACCCUGCGUUUGUUGGGUGCUCGAGUGGCGAACGCGUGAGUAACACGUGUGUAACCUGCCCUUGACUUUGGGAUAACUUUAGGAAACUGGGGCUAAUACCGGAUAUGAUCUCCUGCUGCACGGUGUGGGUUGGAAAGUUUCGGCGGUUGGGGAUGGACUCGCGGCUUAUCAGCUUGUUUGUCGAGUAGUGGCUGACCAAGGCUUUGACGGAUAGCCCGCCUGGGAGGGGUACCGGGCUCAAGGGGCCUACGGUACGGCCCAGACGCCUACGGGAGGCAGCAGUGGGGAAUAUUGCACAAUAGGCGGGAGCCUGAUGCAGCAACGCCGCGUGCGGGAUAACGGCCUUCGGGGUAUAAACCGCUUUCGCCUGUGACGAAGCGGGAGUGACGGUAAUGGGUAAAGAAGCACCGGCUAACUACGUG
rnacentral:rRNA from 1 species